UAGAAUAGACCUUUGCUAGUUUCUGUAGUAUGUUACCAGAGAAGUUUCUCUGAUCGUGUAGAGCACCCGAAACCAUGAUGAGGAGUCAGAGCAUCCUUUCCUGAGCAUGAAGAUGAUUGUAGGUGUUGCUUUAGCAACUGCGUUUUGCUGUUGAUGAUCGUUCUUCUCUUCCUUUGGAAGGGCUACAGGGAGAGGAUGCAAUCUGAGUGAU